ACCUGAAAUGUAUAGUAGAAGUGGAACUGCUUUAUAAUUUCUCUCUAUUUAUAUCCUCUCUUCCUUUCUUGUCUACAAACUCUACAUCCGGAGGAAGAAGAUCUAGAAAGUGGAGGAGAAGAAGAUAAAACGAUGGAUCUCUGGGACUACCGCGUCCUCCAGCACACUGAUCAUGGCGCGUGAUCGAAUCGUGCACCACUCACAGUUGAAGCUGCCAGCAUGAUCUGAGCUUUCUUCAGCUGAUGAUCCCUAUCUAUCCUGGAAAGAAUAGAUCAUGUGGCAGUUUCACCUGUUGAUGGAAAGCAUGAGGAAACCCUAAUCUCUAGAAACCCUAAUUCCAUGUUCUGAUUCAAUUACAAGCAACCACAGGGGUUUGUUAAUUUCUUUCGCUUAGAAAACCCAAGACUCGGUUUAUUUUCUUGGUAUUUUAUAAUGAUAUUACGAAUUUUGGGUUUAUCUUUUGUUUGGGAGAUCUCAUGGCUGUCAUAGAUCGAAUAUGUUAGGAUCUUGAUCACGAGGAACAUCUUUUCCGUUUCUAACUACACAUCUUUGUUCCAAUUUAUGAUGUUAUAAGCAUUCCAGCUUGCUGCUUAUGUUUCUGAUCCAUUAGAUCAGUAAGUAUUUCCAUCAUCAAGAAUUGAGAUCAAAACCUCACUUGCAUAUACAUACAUAUAUAUAUAUAUGCAUGUAUAUAUGAAUGUGUUCUUUCAGUUUUUUUAUUUUCUGGCCUGAUUAUUGAGUUUGACCCCAAAGGAAAGGGGAAGGAAAUUCAAACCAGUAUCUGUUUCCGAGGUGGAUAAUGAUUUUGUCCUCCUUUGUUAACCCUUGGGGGGCCAAAUCAUAUUAAGGAACUUAAAGCAUAAGAGAGGUUAUGCUUUCAGCUUUCUUGGGGUACUCAUGAAGUUCUCUGAUCAUUAUUUUUCUUUUUCCUAUUGGACAUUGAUUGGAACUAAAAUAAAUGAUAUUACACAGAGGCCUUCCACACUUUGUAGCCGGCAAAACACGCAAUUUGUAUCAAUAUGGCUAGAUUUCUAUCUCGUACACAUGUCGAUCAAAUUGCCCAAAAUAUUACAAGCUGGUUGGAGCAAA